UACGUAGGGGGCAAGCGUUGUCCGGAUUUAUUGGGCGUAAAGAGCGUGUAGGCGGCCAUGUAGGUCCGUUGUGAAAACUCGAGGCUCAACCUCGAGACGCCGAUGGAAACCAUGUGGCUAGAGUCCGGAAGAGGAGAGUGGAAUUCCUGGUGUAGCGGUGAAAUGCGCAGAUAUCAGGAAGAACACCCGUGGCUAAGGCGGCUCUCUGGGCCGAUACUGACGCUGAGGAGCGAAAGCGUGGGGAGCGAACAGG
rnacentral:rRNA from 1 species